rnacentral:lncRNA from 1 species
GCCCCCUGCAUUGCUGAUGCUGCUGCUGGCGGACAUGGACGUGGUGAAUCAGCUGGUGGCUGGGGGUCAGUUCCGGGUGGUCAAGGAGCCCCUCGGCUUUGUGAAGGUGCUGCAAUGGGUCAGUGAAGCCCAGGAGGACCUGGGGGGGGCAAGAGCUCAGGAGAAGGCCUGCCCCCCUUCCCACCCCUAUACCCUAGGUCUCCACCCCUCAAGCCAGGAGACCCUGUCUUUGCUGUUUAUAUAUAUAUAUAUUAUAUAUAAAUAUCUAUUUAUCUGUCUGAGCCCUGCCCUCACUCCACUCCCCUCAUCCACUAGGUGCCCAGUCUUGAGUGGGCCCCCUCUCUUACCCCGUCCCUUUCCCUGCAUCCCUUGGCCCCUCUCUGUUUACCCUCCCUGUCCCCUGAGGUUAAGGGGAUCUAAAAGGAGGACAGGGAGGGAACAGACCUCGGCUGUGUGGGGAGGGUGGGCGUGACUUCAGACUCUCUCCUCUCUCUCCCUCCACUCCUCCCAACUCUGGCCUUGGUUCCUCCAGCAAUGCCUGCCUGAACAAAGGCCGUUAGGGAAAUCCAACUCCAGGGUUAAAGAAAGGCAGAGAUUGGGGGGGCUUGGGGUAGAGAGGACAGUUUAGGACCCAAGGUGGUCUUGGAGAGGAGGUGUGGAGUGGAGGGGUCAGCAGGGGGGUUGGGUUCCAGACAGAGUGGAUCUGGAGUCUGAAGGAGAGGAGUGCGCUAGAGCAUUCUGGGGUGGGGCUUGGAAGGGCGCUGAGGGCAGGGUUCUAGAAGGGGCGAGGCUUUAAGCGAGGCAGAAUGGUGGGCUCCAGAGUAGGUGGGUCUUGGAUUGGUACCAGAGCCUAUGGAAAGGGUGUGGCUUGGAACAUUUGGGAGACUGAGCUUGAUUCUAAAGGGGACAGAUCUUGAGCAAGGCAAGAAGUGGGAUUCAGGAAUGGGCCAAGCCAGGGUUCCAGACAGGGUGGGGCUUAGAAUGGGGCUUCCAUGGUGGUUUCAGAAAGGGCAGCCCCUCCCCAUGGUGCAGUGAAGAAAAUGUUUUACAAUGGCUGGGUUUGGGCAGUGGAGAGGGGACUUGGAUAGGAGCUUCCAGAUGGGUUUUGUUAGGGGUGGGGGAGAAUGGCUCUGGCUACGACUUGGGACGGAAGUGGCCUGAGAAGAGUCGAGUGAUAUGGCUUGUAGGGUGAGGCGUGGGAUCCAGAGAGAAGCACCCCACCACACACACCCUUCCCCACUCCCGUGAUGAAACAGCUAGGUUAAUAGGAGGACAGAACCAACGGGUCUGUGGGACUGGCCCACCCCUCUUCCCCCUUCCCCUGCGCCCUCCCUCCCUCCACACCUCCACCCGUCCUGGGGUGGUUGGAGGCCUGGUCUGGAGCCCCUAUCCUGCACCCUCUGCUAUGUCUGUGAUGUCAGUAGUGCCUGUGAUCGUGUGUUGCCAUUUUGUCUGGCUGUGGCCCCUCCUUCUCCCCUCCAGACCCCUACCCUUUCCCAAACCCUUCGGUAUUGUUCAAAGAACCCCCCUCCCCAAGGAAGAACAAAUAUGAUUCUCCUCUCCCAAAUAAACUCCUUAACCACCUAGUC